AGUGAACGCUGGCGGUAGGCCUAACACAUGCAAGUCGAACGGCAGCACAGUAAGAGCUUGCUCUUACGGGUGGCGAGUGGCGGACGGGUGAGGAAUACAUCGGAAUCUACUUUUUCGUGGGGGAUAACGUAGGGAAACUUACGCUAAUACCGCAUACGACCUACGGGUGAAAGCAGGGGAUCUUCGGACCUUGCGCGAUUGAAUGAGCCGAUGUCGGAUUAGCUAGUUGUCGGGGUAAAGGCCCACCAAGGCGACGAUCCGUAGCUGGUCUGAGAGGAUGAUCAGCCACACUGGAACUGAGACACGGUCCAGACUCCUACGGGAGGCAGCAGUGGGGAAUAUUGGACAAUGGGCGCAAGCCUGAUCCAGCCAUACCGCGUGGGUGAAGAAGGCCUUCGGGUUGUAAAGCCCUUUUGUUGGGAAAGAAAAGCAGCAGGUUAAUACCCCGCUGUUCUGACGGUACCCAAAGAAUAAGCGCCGGCUAACUUCGUG
rnacentral:rRNA from 1 species